CAAUAAAUAAAGCAGUUCUUAAGUUUUGCUAUAUAUGUAUUGAAUCAGCUAACUUCAAAUGACAUGACAGUCAGGCUUGGUUCUACUGGGUGUGCAGAGCGUGCGUGCAUGAAGGCGGCUGAACAUAAAAGGCGGCCUCACAGCUCUGAAUUUUUGUCAUUGAAUGUCAGUAACAGUUCAAAGAAAAGCCGACAAGGCAAAUCCAAAACACAGCAUGUGAAGCUUAUGCACGAACAUGGCACAUUAAUCAAGAAUUUUUUUGGUGUUUAGUAUUUGUUUCUACCAUCUUCGUUAUUGUAAAAAAU
rnacentral:lncRNA from 1 species